rnacentral:rRNA from 1 species
GCGAGUGAAGCGGCAACAGCUCAAAUUUGAAAGCUAGCCUUCGGGUUCGCAUUGUAAUUUGUAGAGGAUGAUUUGGGGAAGCCGCCUGUCUAAGUUCCUUGGAACAGGACGUCAUAGAGGGUGAGAAUCCCGUAUGUGACAGGAAAUGGCACCCUAUGUAAAUCUCCUUCGACGAGUCGAGUUGUUUGGGAAUGCAGCUCUAAAUGGGAGGUAAAUUUCUUCUAAAGCUAAAUAUUGGCGAGAGACCGAUAGCGCACAAGUAGAGUGAUCGAAAGAUGAAAAGCACUUUGGAAAGAGAGUUAAAAAGCACGUGAAAUUGUUGAAAGGGAAGCGCUUGCAAUCAGACUUGUUUAAACUGUUCGGCCGGUCUUCUGACCGGUUUACUCAGUUUGGACAGGCCAGCAUCAGUUUCGGCGGCCGGAUAAAGGCUCUGGGAAUGUGGCCUCCACUUCGGUGGAGGUGUUAUAGCCCAGGGUGUAAUACGGCCAGCCGGGACUGAGGUCCGCGCUUCGGCUAGGAUGCUGGCGUAAUGGUUGUAAGCGACCCGUCUUGAAAAAAGGGACC